rnacentral:tRNA from 1 species
CCUUCGUUAGCUCAGUGGUAGAGCGGGUGGUUGUGAUCCACCAGGCGAGCGUCCGAUUCGCUCACGAGGGA